UUUAAUCUGUACACAAACUAUAGAAUACAAGGAAGUCAGGGCACCACAUGUCACGGCACCAGCAGCAGCAGCCUCACCACCGAUGGUGUACGAAAUUAGUUGGCAACAACACGCUAGUCUUCUCAUUCUCUAUAUGAUGGGGUUCUCUGUGUGAUUUUGACUGGACACCCCACCCCCACGAAGAACCCACUUUUCUUCUCUCUCUCUCUCUCUUUCUGGGGGUGUCAACUCCAGGCAUUUCUCCGUUCUGGGGCUCAAUCUAAGGUUUAUGUUGCUGUACUCUUGAAGUUUACGAGGAGGAGAAGAACUGAGAAAGGGAUCUAUCUGAGAUGGGUUCAUUCAGCCCAUUCAAAGACCAAAAUUACUCUAUGACAAAGAAGCUCCUACCCUGGUGUCUUUAUGUUCUUCUUCCCAUAGCUAUCAUUCGCUUGUAUCUCUACCCAAUACCCAUCUCUCCCUCAACCACCGAUCAGCUUCCCAGAAACGACUUCAUUGCUAUCUCCACCCCCGCCACCGCCACCCCUUCCUCGUCUUCUUCUUUGAAAGAAGAGAAGAGGGCCGACGUUGAGGCUGAAUGCGACUACACCAAUGGCGUAUGGGUUGCUGACAAGCUGGGCCCGUUGUACAACGGCACGAGCUGUGGUACAAUUAAGGAUGGCCAGAACUGUAUGAGCCAUAGCAGGCCUGACCAGGGCUACCUCUACUGGAGGUGGAAGCCCCAUGGUUGCAAGCUCCCCAGGUUUGAACCCAAAACUUUUCUUCAAAUUCUAAGGAACAAGCACUUGGCCUUUGUGGGUGAUUCAAUGGCCAGGAACCAACUGGAGUCUCUUCUUUGUAUGGUGGCCACUGUUUCUCCCCCUCAUCUUGUUUACACCAGUGGAGAAGAUAACAAGUUUAGGAGAUGGCACUUUCCUUCUCACAAUCUCAACGUUUCAAUUUAUUGGUCCCCUUUUCUUGUAAAGGGUGUUGAGAAAUCAGAGGGCGCAGACUAUAAUAAACUGUAUUUGGAUUCUGUGGAUGAAAGGUGGGCGUCUGAUAUGGAUCAGAUGGACAUGGUUGUGCUAUCAGUAGGGCACUGGUUUCUACACCCAGCAGUGUAUUUUUAUGGUGGUUCAGUGCUGGGUUGCCAUUCAUGCACAGGCCAAAACCACACUGAAAUAGGAUUCUAUGAUGUGUUUGGGAAGGCAUUUAAGACUACCCUUAACGCUAUUAUUGAAAGGAAAGGUAGCGGCUCCAAGGCGAUUGAUGUGAUUGUGACUACUUUUUCACCCCACCAUUUUGAAGGGGAUUGGGACAAGUUUGGGGCCUGUCCCAGGACCAAGCCUUACAAGGAAGGUGAGAAGCAGCUUGAGGGGAUGGAUGAAGAGAUGAGAAAAGUUGAGGUGGAAGAAGUGAAGGCUGCUAAGGUAAAAACCAAGAAUUUUGCAAGAUUAAGGUUAGAGGCUUUGGAUGUCACAAAACUGGCAUUAAUGAGACCAGAUGGUCAUCCUGGACCAUACAUGUACCCUAAUCCAUUUGCCAAUGGGAUUCAAGAGAGGGUUCAAAAUGAUUGUGUCCAUUGGUGCCUGCCAGGGCCCAUUGAUACAUGGAAUCAGAUGUUGUUGGAUGUGAUGAAGAGGUGGGAGAGUCGGUCCAGGGAAGGAAGAUAAAAUUUCUAUGGUACAAUAAAUACCCAUAAGCCAUUGCUGUGUCAAAAUGAAGGGUUUUGAUGUUUUCCUCCUAUUGCCUGUGCAUAUUGCCUUGAAGAGAGCCAAGAGAAAGAGGACACAAGUGAUUGGUUUGGUUGUUUCUGAUAUGUAGAGAGAUAAAUGGAGAGGGAGAGAAUGUGAUACAGAUCUUGUCAAUGAAAUGGGUGGUCUACAAUUACAUGAUACAUUCACAUGGCUUUAAUGUGCAGAUUUCAUUGUAUCAAAGGAGGAUUGGUAGUACUGUUGCUUCCUUGAGAAUCUAGAUCCACAGGUUGGCCCCAUCAACGGGACAUACUUGCCUUCAACAUUUGUCUGUUAGUUUGGUCCACUCCCAUGCUAGAACCAUCGACAAAACAAAGCAAAGCUGAACUGAUUUUCAUGGUACUCAAGCUAGUAAUUUUAUUUUAUUUAUUUUUUUUAAGUCUAUGCUCUUCAAAGCACCACUCUGUUCCAAAACCAAGAAAGAAGAAUAAAAACCAACAAUCUCUUUGCAAGAUCUCCAAGUGCCAAGGUUCAUUAUUCAAAUCAAACUGCUGAGAGAAUAGAUUGUGCCCAAUUAAAAUGAUUUACAUAUCUCAGAAUUAGGGCAACAUUUAUAAUUCACUAUAUUUGAAUUAGGGCAACAUUUAUACCUAAAUUUAUUAUCUUAUUUUAUUUUAUUUUU